UACGAAGGGGGCUAGCGUUGCUUGGAAUCACUGGGCGUAAAGCGCACGUAGGCGGCUUUUUAAGUCAGGGGUGAAAUCCUGGAGCUCAACUCCAGAACUGCCUUUGAUACUGAGAGGCUUGAGUCCGGGAGAGGUGAGUGGAACUGCGAGUGUAGAGGUGAAAUUCGUAGAUAUUCGCAAGAACACCAGUGGCGAAGGCGGCUCACUGGCCCGGUACUGACGCUGAGGUGCGAAAGCGUGGGGAGCAAACGGG
rnacentral:rRNA from 1 species